CUUCUUUAUGUUGUCUGGCUUAAAACUAUUAGUCACCCAAACCUUCACCAAUACAUCACUUUAUACUAAUAAUUUAAUUUCCUUCAGCCGUCGCAUUUAUAACAGCCUUUGCCUGGAGACGGGAUCGCCAUUUUUUUAAUUGAGUUAGGCCCAGUCGGCGAGUGGUGCCCUUUUGUAGUCAUGUCUUAAUAAGUUUUAGAUGUGUCACAUCAAGCGCACGCCAGGAGGCAGAUAGGAAGUGCGAUUUUUUUAACACUUUGCGGGGCUGUCUCCGUGCAAUCUGGGUUCCAGGAACACAACAUUUGCGAUAUAAAGGAGACAAAAAAGGGACGUUUUGCGUCCAGGGUACAGCAAAUGCGUGUGUGGUAAAACGCGUUGACUGAAAUAUGCUUUCUUAAAUUUGUAUCCCAUUCCUAAAAGACUGGACAGCCCACAUCUGUACAGGAGCAGUACUCUGGCUUCUCUGCACAGUGAGGUGGCAGAUUUCUCGGGAAGGCAGGCCUUUUGAGGCUGCUGUGUUUUAAUGUUAAAACGCGGCGAGGACGGGCAAGGGAAACUGUAAUAACUUUGAAGACACGAAAACGGUGUUUUCUUAACGCUCGACUAUAUUGUGGCGGCCAAGCUCCGUUCGCGCUGUGCAUCGCCCUCUCUCCACAGUCCCGCAGAAGUUCCACUCAAAAAGCGAUGAUCGCAAGUGAUCGUGAGAAGGAGAUACAACCUGGGAAAUCCGCAAUAAAACAAACUGCGUUCUCAAAAGAAAAAUAUAAAAGCAAUACUUCGCCAAACAGAGCGGUUACACCUGCAACACGUCUGUUAGGUCCGAGCUGAGUCACCUCACGGGGGAGUUCGCACGUUCUUCUGGCGUGGUCCACUACGGGAGAACCGGGUUCCUGUAAGGGACUCGGGCGUGCCGUGUCAUUACUGGGACAAGCGACUGUUGGUAAUGGGCGGGGUGCGUUUUGCCGGUAUGUUCUUCCUGCCGUGACCGAGACCGUGUGGAGACUCUUCCCCGCUCCGCGGCCGGCUGCAGAGUCCGCUACCUGUCCGCCGGAACAGGGGGCUUCCGCCCCCCAGAGAUGCCUGGGAGUGUGUGCACGCAUGCACCAGCACGGAAAGCCGAUGAACAGGUACAAUAAGCGCCCACAUGCCAGCUCUGGCCAGAAAAGGGGGCGAUGCACUUCUCUGGGCCGAAGUCUUUGCGCCUGGAUGUUCUCUGCUGUGUCCAGGAGUGAAUAAUUGAUGCGAGGAUAAAAGUGUGAGUGUUCAGAGGCAGCUCUGCCUGCGCCUCCCCCCACUGAGCAUGCCCUGUACCUUGUAAAUGGCCUUGCUCGGAGUCUCCUUGGACAGCCGGUUGAAGUGCAAAUCUGUGUUCUGACUUGUUCCUUGUGGCUGCCAGCAUGUUUCCCUCUUGUCAGCAGCGAUUGACUGGCCAGUCUCGCCCUUGUACAGCAACUCUAACAGCUCAUUGACAGACCAGUGACACAGCCGGGCCCGAUAAUGGAAACCUAUUGAUUUUCCCGGAUCUCAGGCACUUCAAAAUGACCGGCCAGCUCAGCGUGAUCAAUGGUCCUGAUCUCCGAGUGACGCCCGGCAGCCCUGAAGAAAAGUUAUCUGUCGUUGAAGGGGUUUUCUUGUAAACCCUGAGAACUCGGAGGAGAAUAAAAAUAUUCAGGACUCAGUGGAGUGAUCACAAGCAGGUGUGAGUGCUCGAUAAAAAAAGCCGAUUUGCUUCAAGUUUCAAAAGCGUCAAUAUUGCCGAAGCACUUUUCACUGCUUUGGCAAUAGUAUAUGGACAUAUAUGUGCCAGAAGGCGUUCUUAAAAAUAAUAGGCCACAUAAGGCCGCCGUAUUAAAGUGGAAACGUGCCUAAA